rnacentral:lncRNA from 10 species
GAAUCCAUACAGGUCUGCAGCAACCUCAAUUCUUGCCUCUUCAGAACACAGAAUUCAACCAAGGGACCUAAGGCAGAAGGAGAGACCAAGGUUCACUCAGAACCUGGUCCAUAAGGAGACGUAUGCACUUUUGCAUACACAGAAUACACUCAGGAAUACUUCUGUGUUUUCGUACCUCGGUGUAAGAUGCUGAGCCCACGGCUGGGGAUCUCGUGUGACGAAUGUCUGCAAAUGUUUGAGUAAGGAGAUGACUUGGGGAGGAAAAGGGCUGGGCUAUUUGGUGGAAAUCUGAAUUUAGAUGAAGAGGCUUGACCAUAAUUGGGAAGUUCUUUUGCUAGCAGUUGGGCAACUCACCAAUAUGAAGAUCACUGAAGCAGGAGCUGUCACCAGG